CGGACGGGUGAGUAAUGUCUGGGAAACUGCCCGAUGGAGGGGGAUAACUACUGGAAACGGUAGCUAAUACCGCAUAACGUCGCAAGACCAAAGAGGGGGACCUUCGGGCCUCUUGCCAUCGGAUGUGCCCAGAUGGGAUUAGCUAGUAGGUGGGGUAAUGGCUCACCUAGGCGACGAUCCCUAGCUGGUCUGAGAGGAUGACCAGCCACACUGGAACUGAGACACGGUCCAG
rnacentral:rRNA from 1 species